rnacentral:rRNA from 1 species
GGGUCCUACGGGAGGCAGCAGUGGGGGAUAUUGCACAAUGGGGGGAACCCUGAUGCAGCGACGCCGCGUGGGUGAAGGAGUGCUUCGGCAUGUAAAGCCCUCUCGGCAGGGAAGAAGCAAGACGGUACCUGACUAAGAAGCCCCGGCUAACUACGUGCCAGCAGCCGCGGUAAUACGUAGGGGGCAAGCGUUAUCCGGAUUUACUGGGUGUAAAGGGAGCGUAGACGGCAGUGCAAGUCUGAAGUGAAAGGCAAGGGCUCAACCCUUGGACUGCUUUGGAAACUGUGCUGCUCGAGUGUCGGAGG